rnacentral:rRNA from 1 species
GCGGUUCAAUUGGANUCAAACGCNGGGAAACUCACCAGAAGAGACGGCAGGAUGAAGCUCAGACUAAAGUCUUAGCUAACGAGCCGAGAGGUGUUGCAUGGCCAGCGUCAGUUCGUGCCGUGAGGUGUCAGGUUAAGUCCUGCAACGAACGAGAUCUCCGUCGACAGUUGCUACCAUUAUGGAAACAAAGUGGGCACUCUGUCGAGACUGCUCGCGUCAAGUGAGAGGAAGGAGGAGGCGACGCUAGGUCUGUAUGGCCCGAAUCUUCUGGGCCACACGUGGCAUACAAUGGCACAGACAAUGAGUUCCGACGCCGAAAGGCGAAGGCAAUCCCCUAAACUGUGCCUAAGUUCGGAUCGGGGGCUGAAACUCGUCCCCGUGAAGCUGGAAUCCCUAGUAAUCGCGUGUCAUUAUCGCGCGGUGAAUAUGUCCCCGCUCCUUGCACACACCGCCCGUCA